CGAUGGGCCGACGUCGCAUGCUCCCGGCCGCCAUGGUUAGAGUUUGAUCUGGCUCAGAACGAACGCUGGCGGCAGGCCUAAUACAUGCAAGUCGAACGGACGUAGCAAUACGUUAGUGGCGCACGGGUGAGUAACGCGUGGGAACGUGCCCUUCAGUACGGGACAACGUCGGGAAACUGACGCUAAUACCGUAUAAUAUCUCCGGAUCAAAGAUUUAUCGCUGAAGGAUCGGCCCGCGUCUGAUUAGCUAGUUGGUGAGGUAAUGGCUUACCAAGGCUACGAUCAGUAGCUGGUCUGAGAGGAUGAUCAGCCACACUGGGACUGAGACACGGCCCAGACUCCUACGGGAGGCAGCAGUAAGGAAUAUUGGACAAUGGGGGAAACCCUGAUCCAGCCAUGCCGCGUGUGUGAUGAAGGCCUUAGGGUUGUAAAACACUUUCGUCGGGGAUGAUAAUGACCGUACCCGAAGAAGAAGCCACGGCUAAAUUCGUGCCAGCAGCCGCGGUAAUACGAAUGUGGCAAGCGUUGUUCGGAAUCACUGGGCGUAAAGAAUGCGUAGGCGGCUUGACAAGUCAGGAGUGAAAUCCCAGGGCUUAACCCUGGAACUGCUCUUGAAACUGUCUUGCUAGAGUCCCGGAGGGGUUGGCGGAAUUCCGAGUGUAGAGGUGAAUUCGCAGAUAUUCGGAGGACACCAGUGGCGUAGGCGGCCAACUGGACGGGAACUGACGCUGAGGCAUGAAAUGUGGGGAGCAAACAGGAUUAGAUACCCUGGUAGUCCACACCGUAACGAUGUGUG
rnacentral:rRNA from 1 species